rnacentral:rRNA from 1 species
AGGACGAACGCUGGCGGCGUGCUUAACACAUGCAAGUCGAGCGGAAAGGCCCUUCGGGGUACUCGAGCGGCGAACGGGUGAGUAACACGUGAGUAACCUGCCCUUCACUUUGGGAUAACCCUCGGAAACGGGGGCUAAUACCGGAUACGACACACCGGCGCAUGUUGUGUGUGUGGAAAGAUUUUUUGGUGGGGGAUGGGCUCGCGGCCUAUCAGCUUGUUGGUGGGGUGAUGGCCUACCAAGGCGACGACGGGUAGCCGGCCUGAGAGGGCGACCGGCCACACUGGGACUGAGACACGGCCCAGACUCCUACGGGAGGCAGCAGUGGGGAAUAUUGCACAAUGGGCGGAAGCCUGAUGCAGCGACGCCGCGUGAGGGAUGACGGCCUUCGGGUUGUAAACCUCUUUCAGCAGGGACGAAGCGUGAGUGACGGUACCUGCAGAAGAAGCGCCGGCCAACUACGCGCCAGCAGCCGC